rnacentral:lncRNA from 1 species
UCCAAGAGAAUAGAUUUUUUAUUUGACAUUCCUAAAUCCACUAAACUAGAAGGUCACUAACUCGACACUCUGCAUCUCGACCAGCACCACCAAUGCUUGUUCUUCACCAUUUCCUCUCCUUUGUACCCAUUUCAUCGAGUCUUUCCCAUUGGAGCCUAGCAAGAAAUCCAUAUUUCUAUUAUCGCCUUGGGUCAAAAUCCCCACGGAUUUCCUUUUAAGGAGACCACAUCCUAGUUGCUUGUCAUGCCUUCUCCUCCAUCAUCAUCACCAUUCCUUCAACAUCGAGACCUCACCCCCACACGCAGUAAAACCAUUCCCUGUCCCUUACACUCACGCAUCUCCUCUCAAAAUCUGAAGGUCCUAGAGUCACCUUCACACCCAGAACUUCUCCUUUAAACAAUACCUCUCAUUAUAGUUUUUGAUACCUUAUGCCCAUCCUAGCUCGACUAGAUACACAAACUCCAAGUCAUCCCUGUUUCGGCAACCCCCCUGAUGUUUGCGAGGCUCUCCAUUAAGACAAGAACCCAGGCUUCGAAUCAAGUGACCGGACCCAGCUUGCUCAGCGCAAUCGCGACCUCAACUUAAAUUGUCUUUGUGGCGUUACCAUUGCGACAUUCCAAAUCAGUUUCCUUCCCCUCCAAAGCUCUGAUUCUGUUCAAGCCACAAACUUGGUCAUGGGUAUAAUUCAAAUUAUUGCAUUUUGAUUUUAGGAUUAUGUUGCUGCAAAUCAAGAUUUUAUCCUUUUAAUUUAUAUGUUAUUUUUAUAUGUUUACUGAAAUUCUCUUUAUGAUUGUUUAAAUAUGAUAGUGUUGUGGAUUAAUUACUGCAAAAUAAAGGGGGUUGUUGUCUUUAUGUUUUUCUCUUGUGCUAUAAUUUUAGAACUCUUGAGAUCAGUGAUUAUGGUUGAGUUAUUUUGUACAUGAUUAGUGUUUCAUGAAUAGUGUAGGUGUAAAUUAUCUCUUUUUGAAUGGGUUUGUUGUAACAGAAUUGGUUUAAUGUCUCGGAUUGAAUGGGUUUGUUGUGUUUUGUAAUUACACUCUAGAUAUGCUAAUGCCAUUGUUUUACUGUAACUUUAAAUACAUAGGGUUGGUUUAAUAUGUCUUGACCUUAUCUUGGC